CCGGAAGUCGGGCCAGUUGUGCCCUCCGGAGUGGGCGCCGUGUUCGUACGGAGGUGUGGGUAUGGUGCUCACGAAGUUUGCGUCCUGCAUGCCCCGACUGAGAGGAACAGUGGCCCAGCAGCAACUGGCAGCACAAGCGCCACGUGCAGCUAUGCUGUCGAUGCCCGACAGCGGCUUCGGUGUGACGGCAUGUUGACCAAACUGUGCGGUCGUUAAUGUUCGCGCCACGUCGAAGGACGGAUUCGUGGAAAAGUCUAAACGCCGAGAGAAGAGGACACGACUCGCGUUUUGCUCCCUCCCGCCUUCGCCUAGCAUCUAUAGCCAUCCAAUUGCUGCGCUACUUCUUUGUUCUUCCUACGUCAAACGAUAACGGCGCGGUGCCUUUGACUACCUCGCCUCAGUGUUUGCGAGAUCAAAGAAGACCUACCGAUCGGCCUCCAGGGCACGCAUCACCUAAAGCGAGCGGGAGCGACCUGCCGCUAAAUGGCUCCAUUACGAUUCACGUGCACUAAGCCACGUAAAGUCCAUAUUGAAACAACCUGCGAUGACUCUAGUUCUUACCGCAUAAAAGAGCCGACAUUCUCAUUACGAUUUCGUCUCCCUACACUGGUGCUCCGCAUAUGCAGGUUACCGGCGGCGCUAUAUAAAGAAACAGUCCAUACUUGACGGUACUACCGACCAAUGCUGAUGAUGAAGCGGAAAUCAACAAGUGCGUCACUGAAAAUUUCAGAGUUGUUAGGUUGAGAUCCUGUCUGACAGCAAAUGACUACUGCGGCAUUUGGAAAUGUAUCCUUGUUGUUGUAAAAAAACAGAUAUCCGCUUGAAAAUUGGUAGAGAUUGACAUACCGGCUGGCCUUGUCGUUAUAUUGAGCAUUCCACUCUAGAUCACAUUAUUUUUAUGUUAUUUUAUGCUGUCUUGCCGCGUGUUUAUCUAUUUGAAGAAGUUACGAACAGGCCUCGGAGCCACUAAGCGACGUAAAUUGCAUAAUUACCACAUGGAGACGCAGCGCACAGCGAAUAUUGCUGAUGUCACGAAAUACAUAGAACUGCUACGGCAUCCUCGCGGGCCCUGUAAAGCCGUAUUACGUAUUUUGCCAAAUUUGCUCAGAUCCACGUCUGUCACUCGGUGUUCUAAGUGACUGUGGCACCGUCCCUGCUUGUACCAUUUUGUGCCAAUCUUCUCGUCCUUGUGACAAUGGCCGCACCUCUUUCCAGAAAUGGCCACCGCUGUGACCAUAGUCUCCCGACUAUCAACUACCGUUAGUGCAGAGUAUUACUUGCUUUGAAAAGUAAAAAAUUGACAUCCACUCGAAUGUAAUAACACGAAGCUACAAAGAGAACCCGUGCGGGUUUCUCAAAAAGAAAGCUUCGCAGUUAAGGAAAAAGUCCUUCUGGUUCGGGAUCCCGGACCAGGACGACUGAGAUUAUGUGCAAAUGACAUUCCAGAAAUUUGCGUUGUCUUCUCCUUUGUUCACGGUCCAGCAUGCAGGCGUUCUUGAACUGAACACACAGCUUGUUCCCGCCUCUCGCUGAUAUUUCGCACACGAAGAGAUCUAAGCUAAUAACGUCACUCGCGCGUCUCCCCUCGUGAAACGCGCUGGCAGAGGAGAAAUUGAAAAAGAAAGAACUAUAGUAUCGAAUGACUCGAUUCUAGAAGCUUUUGCUGUUAUUGUGUUGCUUCGAGUAUUGUAAGGGAUGAAAGAAUGCGCGCAUAGAAGGAGCCUGACAGGAGAAGUUGGGUGGCGCAAAGAAGCUGCGGCUAGGAAGAGAGAAGACGAUGUCAGUUCACGCAUGUGCGUACGUGCGUGCGCGCUGACCACAAACACCGUAAACAAUAUUUGGUUACACCCAGAGUUAUUUCUCACCAAGCUGACCUGUUAUUGCCGAAAUGAACCUUGGGACGGGCAAUAGGUUCGUCACCGUAUUUCUGUUUACUCGCGCUUGCAAAAAUGCCGUACCGAGCUUAGCAUGUAACUCAGAAAUUUUGGGUUUAUUUAUUUAUUUAUUUAUUUAUUUAUUUAUUUAUUUAUUUAUUUAUUUAUUUAUUUGCAUAUAAGCAACACACCUGAAGCUUGGCUUUUCUUGUCUAUUCCCCCACUUUAAGGGCGCUGUCUUGCCGAAUACACAACUCAGGCCAUUGAGCAUGUGCCACUGUAUACAUGUGCGUAUGGAACACAACUUGGGCUGCUGCUUAUAUGCCAGCGGGUGUAUGUAUCUGCCCAUUAAUGGCCAAUCUCCUAGAAUGGGCACGUGCCAAUGUGAGACAAAAUGUACAGAAAGCUUUAAAUGUAUUAGAUAUGUGUCGUACUUCUCUGCACGACGCUUGUCAUCCCCAUUAUUCCCUCGACGAGAAUCGUACAUCAGAUUUCUCGUCACGACAUCGCAGCCUAGAUGUCUUACAGCACUGUACAUCCACCUGAUUUGGUGGAUUCAUUUCAGCCUAUAUAGCGUGUGAGUGACGCAGUGCAUAAGCGUAAAAAUUGUCUGUGAUUAAAGCUGUGACCCUUGCGAUGAAUAAAUAAAUAUUGCAUGAGGUUGCACGCCGCAUAGAAUUACAGUAAACGAUUGUACGUGUCGCUGUUGUAUGGGAUCUAAUAAACAUCGCUUGACUGAAA